CCGCGGUAAUACGAAGGGGGCUAGCGUUGUUCGGAAUCACUGGGCGUAAAGCGCACGUAGGCGGAUCGAUAAGUCAGGGGUGAAAUCCCGGAGCUCAACUCCGGAACUGCCUUUGAUACUGGGUAUCUCGAGUAUGGAAGAGGUGAGUGGAAUUCCGAGUGUAGAGGUGAAAUUCGUAGAUAUUCGGAGGAACACCAGUGGCGAAGGCGGCUCACUGGUCCAUUACUGACGCUGAGGUGCGAAAGCGUGGGGAGCAAACAGG
rnacentral:rRNA from 1 species